UGCAAGUCAUUGGGAUUAUAAAUUAAACCUAAAGGCAUAAUUAACUUAAAUGUAAUAAUGGGAUUAGUUUUUAAUCUAAUUUUUAAUUAGGUUAUUAAUUCAAUCCCGGGGCGUUCUAUAUAGUUAUGUAUAAUAAUAUUUUAUAUUAUUUAUACCUCUAACUGGAGCGUACCUUCAGCAUAUAUGCUGUGACCCGAAAGAUGGUGAACUAUACUUGAUCAGGUUGAAGUCAGGGGAAACCCUGAUGGAAGACCGAAACAGUUCUGACGUGCAAAUCGAUUGUCAGAAUUGAGUAUAGGGGCGAAAGACUAAUCGAACCAUCUAGUAGCUGGUUCCCUCCGAAGUUUCCCUCAGGAUAGCUGGUGCAUUAAAUUAUUAUAUAAAAUAAUCCUAUCUGGUAAAGCGAAUGAUUAGAGGCCUUAGGGUCGAAACGACCUUAACCUAUUCUCAAACUUUAAAUGGGUAAGAACCUCACCUUUCUUGAUAUGAAGGUUGAGGUUGUGAUAUAAUGUGCCCAGUGGGCCACUUUUGGUAAGCAGAACUGGCGCUGUGGGAUGAACCAAACAUAAUGUUACGGUGCCCAAAUUAACAACUCAUGCAGAUACCAUGAAAGGCGUUGGUUGCUUAAAAUAGCAGGACGGUUGACAUGGAAGUCGUAAUCCGCUAAGGAGUGUGUAACAACUCACCUGCCGAAGCAACUAGCCCUUAAAAUGGAUGGCGCUUAAGUUGUAUACCUAUACAUUAUCGCUAAAGUAAAUGAUUUAUAUUCAAUUUCGAUUGAAUUUUAAAUUUUGAGACUUUAGUGAGUAGGAGGGUACAAUGGUGUGCUUAGAAGUGUUUGGCGUAAGCCUGCAUGGAGCCGCCAUUGGUACAGAUCUUGGUGGUAGUAGCAAAUAAUCGAAUGAGACCUUGGAGGACUGAAGUGGAGAAGGGUUUCGUGUGAACAGUGGUUGAUCACGAGUUAGUCGGUCCUAAGUUCAAGGCGAAAGCUGAAAAUUUUCAAGUUAUAAUAUUAAUAAAUAUUAUUUAUUAGUAAUUAAACACUUGAUUAUUUUUGAACGAAAGGGAAUACGGUUCCAAUUCCGUAACCUGUUGAGUAUCCGUUUGUUAUUAAAAAUGGGCCUUGUGCUCAUCCUGGUAACAGGAACGACCAUAAAGAAGCCGUCGAGAGGUAUCGGAAGAGUUUUCUUUUCUGUUUUAUAGUCGUACUACCAUGGAAGUCUUUCGAAGAGAGAUAUGGUAGAUGGACUAGAAGAGCAUGACAUUUACUGUUGUGUCGAUAUUUUCUCCUCGGACCUUGAAAAUUUAUGGUGGGGUCACGCAAACUUCUCAACAGGCCGUACCGAUAUCCGCAGCUGGUCUCCAAGGUGAAGAGUCUCUAGUCGAUAGAAUAAUGUAUGUAAGGGAAGUCGGCAAAUUAGAUCCGUAACUUCGGGAUAAGGAUUGGCUCUGAAGAUUGAGAUAGUCGGGCUUGAUUGGGAAGCAAUAAUAUGGUUUAUGUACUCGUUCUGGAUAAAUAGAGAUUUUCGGAUCUUGUUCCCCGGAUAGUAGCUACGUAGCCAAUUGUGGAACUUUCUUGCUAAAAUUUAUAAGGAGUUAUCGAAAGAUAUAUUCCUUUUAAAUUAUAACGAUUAUCAAUUAACAAUCAAUUCAGAACUGGCACGGACUUGGGGAAUCCGACUGUCUAAUUAAAACAAAGCAUUGUGAUGGCCCUAGCGGGUGUUGACACAAUGUGAUUUCUGCCCAGUGCUCUGAAUGUCAAUGUGAAGAAAUUCAAUUAAGCGCGGGUCAACGGCGGGAGUAACUAUGACUCUCUUAAGGUAGCCAAAUGCCUCGUCAUCUAAUUAGUGACGCGCAUGAAUGGAUUAACGAGAUUCCUUCUGUCCCUAUCUACGAUCUAGCGAAACCACAGCCAAGGGAACGGGCUUGGAAUAAUUAGCGGGGAAAGAAGACCCUUUUGAGCUUGACUCUAAUCUGGCAGUGUAAGGAGACAUAAGAGGUGUAGAAUAAGUGGGAGAUAUUGGACUUUGGUCCUUUGUCGCCAAUGAAAUACCACUACUCUUAUUGUUUCCUUACUUACUUGAUUAAGUGGAACGUGUAUCAUUUCCUAGCCAUUAUACGGAUAUAUUUAUAUAUCUUAUGGUAUUGGGUCUUGAUGCAAGCUUCUUGAUCAAAGUAUCACAAGUUUGUUAUAUAAUUGUAAACAUAUUUUAAUGAAAUGAUAGCAUUUCGGUGUUAUUAUUAUAAUUAAAAUAUGGUAUAACUUCAAUACUUAGGUAUGAUCCAAUUCAAGGACAUUGCUAGGUGCGAAGUUUGACUGGGGCGGUACAUCUCUCAAAUAAUAACGGAGGUGUCCCAAGGCCAGCUCAGUGCGGACAGAAACCACACAUAGAGCAAAAGGGCAAAUGCUGACUUGAUCUCGGUGUUCAGUACACACAGGGACAGCUAAAGCUCGGCCUAUCGAUCCUUUUGGUUUAAAGAGUUUUUAACAAGAGGUGUCAGAAAAGUUACCAGAGGGAUAACUGGCUUGUGGCGGCCAAGCGUUCAUAGCGACGUCGCUUUUUGAUCCUUCGAUGUCGGCUCUUCCUAUCAUUGUGAAGCAAAAUUCACCAAGCGUUGGAUUGUUCACCCAUGCAAGGGAACGUGAGCUGGGUUUAGACCGUCGUGAGACAGGUUAGUUUUACCCUACUAAUGACAAAACUGUUGUUGCGACAGCAUUCCUGCGUAGUACGAGAGGAACCGCAGGUACGGACCAAUGGCACAAUACUUGUUCGAGAGAACAGUGGUAUGACGCUACGUCCGUUGGAUUAUGCCUGAACGCCUCUAAGGUCGUAUCCGUGCUGGACUGCAAUGAUAAAAAUGGGGCAAUUGCAUUGUAUGGCUUCUAAACCAUUUUAAAGUUUAUAAUUUCCAUUAUAAACGACAAUAUGGAUGUGAUGCCAAUGUUACCUAUAGCAUAGCAAGUUUGGGAGGAGAAUAUCACCCGGGCGCCGCGCUAGUUAUAUGGUUAAAACAUUAUUUAAUACAAUGACAAUGCCUAGAAUCAAUUGUAAACGACUUUUGUAACGGGCA
rnacentral:rRNA from 1 species